rnacentral:rRNA from 1 species
UGGGGAAUUUUGGACAAUGGGCGCAAGCCUGAUCCAGCAAUGCCGCGUGCAGGAUGAAGGCCUUCGGGUUGUAAACUGCUUUUGUACGGAACGAAAAGCCUCUCUCUAAUACAGGGGGUGAUGACGGUACCGUAAGAAUAAGCACCGGCUAACUACGUGCCAGCAGCCGCGGUAAUACGUAGGGUGCAAGCGUUAAUCGGAAUUACUGGGCGUAAAGCGUGCGCAGGCGGUUUUGUAAGACAGUGGUGAAAUCCCCGGGCUCAACCUGGGAACUGCCAUUGUGACUGCAAGGCUGGAGUGCGGCAGAGGGGGAUGGAAUUCCGCGUGUAGCAGUGAAAUGCGUAGAUAUGCGGAGGAACACC